UCAACGCGCCAAUUUGUCGUGCUUCUCCCUAUUUCUGUGUCUGCAUCUGCUAGUUGUAGAAGGCGGAGGAAACCUGCCAAGACGUAGUCUCUCUCUCUCUUUCUCACCCCCUCUUAUUCCUCCCUCGUGCGUGUAGGAAGGCGAGAGGCCAUUUUGCGUUCCCUGGAGUCACAAAUUGUUUGCUCAACACAAGAUAGAAAAGCGCCACCAUUGUUUGCUGUCGUUGUCUCUCUCCCUCUGUGCUUGAAAUAGCACUCUUGCUUGCUCUAAUCGAUGGCCAUUGAGUUGGCGGAAAGCAACAGGAUUGAAACCUUGCUGGGGCUGAGUCGUCGUCUCUUGACUGUCGCUGUUGCUUCUCCUCCUCGUCUGAAUUUCUUCUCUUAUCCGGUGUCUACGGCGGCGCUUAAGUGGUGACGUUUUUUUGUGUUGUUUUCCUUCGUUCUUCUUUCGUCUUCCGCUGAGCCGUCGGCAUCGGUGAUUAGAGACGCCUGUCGUCGACUGCACCACAUUCUUUUUUUCCUGUUCUUUAGCGAGUUAUUCUUCCACCGCCGCUCCGCCUCGCUUCCUCCCUUUGUCCUGCAGCAGGCCGUGAGCAGAGAAGGACAACAGAAAAAGUUAUCUGUAAAACAGAAGCAUCCUCAACACCGUCCUCCCCCCAUCCUUCCCUCAUCGUUUUAAUGAUUGAACCACCCCUCUUAUUGUAUUUGGACGCUCCUCAUGUUUCACUCCGAGGCGAAGUAUGGCCCUCGCCUGCAUAUGUACCUGUGCCACGUUAGCUCCCAUGAUGAAGUCCACCGGCAGACGCGCUUCGCGCGCAGGAUGGGUACUCGUGCGGAUGGGUCUCGCGGAAACACGCAUCGUACCCGCAGGAGAUGGGCUUCCGCUUUGACGGUAUCGUGUUGGCAAACACCCUACGCAUUCUCGCUAACGAAAACAAAAUAUCGUCGUGCAUGGUCGUUUAUGUCGCCGAGCCGACGGCACAAGAGGAGCAGGAUGGCGUGUGCGGCCCGUAUAGCAAGGCAGCCUUCAAGCGUCUUGGCCACGUCAGCUUCUCCAACAACGCGGCCAGUAACUACCAGGCGAGGGAGCUCAAGACCGUUGGCCUACAACGUUGUUGCACGUACCUGAAGCUGGUGUUGCGCAACCCCCAUCCUAACGGCUACAACAUUUUCCAGCAGGUCGGCGUUGUGGCCCUGGCAGUGUACGGAAAUCUGCUGAAGAAGCUGCGGGACUGGAUUGAUACCCCACUCGCUAUUCACGUCGGAGAGUGCGCCACGGUGCCACUGGAUGAGAUGAUGCCCCCCACACACAACGAAUACACCCCAGGCACGCCGGCGAGGGUGACCGGCAAGCUCUUCACCCGCAUCAGCGAACUGGCUGCUAUGAAGCAGAAGGCCGUGGAGGAGGAGGACUUUGAUGCCGCGGAGGCACUCAGGCAGCAGAUCAUCACCAUCGAGAACGGCGAGCGCGAGGUUGCACAGCUCGAACUAGAAAAACAGCGCGCCGUAGCGUUGGAGAACUACAAGCUAGCCAAGGAACUCAAGCUGCGUAUUGAGACCCUCCGAGUGGAAAACGAGAAGAUCGCCGCUGCCCCGCCAAAAACAGCACCGUCCGCCAUGGCUGCGACAGAUGCUUUUCCAUCACCGCCGCAGCACCGCUCCCCCACAGUAGGCGCGUCAGACAGCGCCGCAGCGCAGGAAAAAGGCAACGGCACCGCCUCCUCACGCCCCGUGCAGGGGGGAUGGAACGCGCAUGACGAGGUAGUAGUAGGCGGCAAGGGCUACUAUGACCUCUCCGACGCCACAGGUGGCUUGACGGGCAAGCAGCCAAGCGCCCGGAACGGCGCUGACGAGGACGAGGUACCGCUCUCCGGCGACGGCGCCGCCUGGGAGGUCGCCCUCAACACCGCCAUCAAGCGCGUCUCGACGGCGCCGGCCGGGCCAUCGCCACUCACUGGAGACGCCGCCGCAGCAGCUAAGCCUUACACAAAGGACCUUGGUGUGUACUGCGUAGCUUGCCUGUUUAGCCGAAAGGGGCAGCAGCGGGAGGCGGCCUUGCGUGGCGCCGUGUCGAGUGACGGCUGCCAAGCCCUAGCCUCCCAUAGCAUUGCUGCAUGGACGCAGCUGGUGCUGUACAUGUCUGUCAAGGGCUACGGUGUCGGGGACCAGGUGGCAGGUGCUGCCAUCGCAGCCUGCAACGCUCUGACAAAGAUUGUGCAAGGCAAGCUGCCCGGAGCCUCGGCAAACCAGGUCGCCGAGUCUGUCACCAAGGUGCUUCCAGAGCUGACGGCGCGACUCGGCGAGUCAAACGCGCGCGUUCAAGAGAGCGUAGAGAAGACAGUGGUUGCUGUCGCCCGCUCCCCGCUCGGCCAUCGCCGCAUCGUGGAGUUGCUGCUGGUGGACCCGGACAAGCAAAACAAGAAGCCUGCCAGCGUCCGCGCGCAUGUGUCGCGCAUUAACAUUCUCAGCACCUUUGUGGAUGAGUUUGGACUUGCACGCAACGCUCCCGAUGGCCUGGACACGCACAGCUUGUGCUCCAUGGUGCUGCUGCCCAGCCUUCAGCACUUCAACGCCGAUGUGCGGCUGGCCGCGGUGGAUCUGUUGGCCAAGUUGCUCUUCCUGGACCCUAGCUCCACGAGCGGCUACCUGGAGGACAUCAAGCCGGUUCAGCAGGCACUCAUCGAGGAGCAGUUGGAGCAGUACAAGCAGAGCCAGCUCGCUGCUGGCAGCAUUGCGCGAAAGGUGUCGGACAUGCAAGUGGACACAGUGGCUGUCCAGUCGCGCGGCAGGGGCAGUCCAGUCUCACCCCAGGCACAGCCCCAGCGUUCAUCGGCGCCUCGUGCGAGAGAGGCGAGUGCCGCUGCCGCUGAAGAGGCCGAUCCUCGCGUCCACACUGCGCCGCUCUUGCAGCAGGCGCCUGCGCUGAUAGGCGCGAUCGAAUACCGCCGGCUGCGUACGUGCCAGUUCUGCGGCGAGUACAAUUCAAGCUUUAAUGAGCAUAACUUGGACCUGCACUACGUAAGUGCCUGUCCGAUGCUCUGCCCGUGCCCGCUGUGCGACCAGGUGACAGAAAUAUGCCAGCUGCAGCAGCACUUGGUGACCGAGUGUGAGAAGCGGCGGCUGGUGCGCGAGUGCCCUCGAUGCCACGAGGCAGUCCGCGCAACAGAGUACAACGAGCACCUUGCGGCGAAGAAGUGCAUCGAGGCAGUGCCGACGUACAGCGUGUGCCCACUGUGCCACGAGCGCUUCAAGAACAGCAUAGACGAGUGGCGCCACCAUCUUGCCUCAAGUCCUGGUUGCCCAAACAACCCGCGAUGCUACGACGGCUCCGGACUCGCCAUGUAACUCCCCUGAGACUCCUCUUUCUCUCACUGUGGCUCUGCGAAGCCAGGAAAUGGUGGAGGGGCUCGGAGCAGAUCGACGCUGCACGCCUGCCCCGGCGAGUGUGCCUUGUACCCCACCCCCUUUCUCACAAUGGGGAUGACUGACUCGCUUGUAGUGUGCUCGCCUUCCUCCUAUGCCCUUGAGCACCUCUUUUUUUUUGUAUGUCUUUCUUCCACCCGAGGAGGGGCCGGAUGCAGCCGUGGGUUGCAGCUGAGGCGGGUGACUUGUGGUUGUAUCUCCGCCUGUGUUGCUGACAUGUUUGUGGAUGGGAUCUGGAUACGCUGUAGCAGCAUCCGCGCAGCAACUUGUUCUCUCUGUGUGUGUUAUCUGUGGCAUGGAAACCGUUGUCGUUUUUUUUUUCGUUGUUUGUCGUUGUUUAGUCUUUUUUUUCUCUGCGUGAUUUGAACCUGCUAAGUGAUCUACGACACUGCUAGUGGGAUAUCCGCCUUGCAGAUUUCUGUGUACCUGUACAGUCUGUUUUGUGUGCUCGUCCGUGUGGGUUUAUGUGCACACGAGCUGCUGCAACGCCCUCUUCCCGGCCUCCUCGGCAUUUGUCAUCGCCCUUCCCUUGCUUGUUCAUCUUCCAUUCCUCCCUCCGCCUUUUCCCCUCCCUCACCUCACGCACACCGAGACUUGCUCGCUUUUUUUUUGAUAGAUGUGCGUGUAAUCUUCCCUGAUGACGAGGAACGCCUCAGUGCGUGGUAUCCGCGGUCCAGUACCCCCACUCUGUGGGAAUGCCGAGCAGCCGCCCGCCCCUGUCCCCCGCCCCUGUCCCCCGCCAGUGCCGAGGCACUUCUGCUGCUGGUAGGGCCAGGCACCUACGGCGUGUGGGAGGUCAGAGCGACUUAUCGCUACUGAUGUCGGCGGCCGGGGUGCUGGAUGGCGCUGCGCCGGAGCGACCUGUGAUUGUGAGCAUAUUUGUGCCAUCCAUAUGAUGGCUAGAGUGUGAGCGUGACUCGAGCGUAUUUCGCCCGGCCCUCACUGCCCUGCUAGCGAGGGCGCUUGUGUGCCACCCGGAGGGUGAUGCGCCGGGUGGCGAGCAGCACAAUGGGAAGCGACUGUGAGGCAGCCUGCUUGGUGGGCGGGUGGGCAGAGUUUGAGGCAGAGACGGCGCUCCGAUGACUGUGUCGGCGCAUUGCUGUAACGCGCUUCUAGCGCUGCUUCGCACCGCGCGGAAUGGGGGCCUGUGACAGGCUGUGAGGGGUAGGGUGGAGUGGAGCUCGUGCUGUAUGGCGGAGGAUGGGCGCGCCGGGAAAAGAGCCUUUCUUGUGUGAAACGAACUCGGUGCAGCCUCUGCUUUCUUUUCUGCUUGCCUUCUUUUUAGGUGUUGGCUUUUGUGCGUUUACGGACUGGCUUGAUCGCUGUGCAAAUGACGGUGUGGUGUGGAUGAGGUGUUGAGGACGUGGCUGGGGCGAUUUGAUGUGGGAGGUAAAAAAGGGAAUGCAUCACGCUAACCUUCUCCGCCAUGCAGAGGCUUAGGAGGGGAUGAGGAGAAAAAGAAAAUGCAGAGCUGCGCAUACCGACACACCCGACGCUUUCGAUGCGUCUCUGUGUGUGUGCUCUCUGCUAGUGCGCCGUGUACCACCCGCACGAACUCACAGAAUGGAAUGUUAUGCAACAAGU
rnacentral:misc_RNA from 1 species